AGCUUUUACGUCAACCAACGUUCUUCACAAACCUGCGCCAGCUCGUGUAUCUGCAAAAGCUUCAGCGACAGUGACUUCAGGAGCUUAUUUCAAUACUGCUUAUUUGUCAACCAACCUUCCUCAACCACCUGCGUCAGCUCGAAAAAUAAUAUCAACAGCUUCAGCGACCUCAACCUCAAGAGCUUCUUUUAAUCCUGGUACCGCUGAUGAGCCUGAAAAAAAAAAUUUAAAUCGACCACUAUUUUAUUAUCGAAGAAAAACAUUGAUUUAUUAAAC